GAGACAAGAUUUCGUCAUGUUGCCCAGGCUGGUCUCGAACUCCUGGCCUCAAGAAAUCCACCUGCCUCAGUCCCCCGAAGUGCUUGGAUUACAGGCGUGAGCCACGGCACCAUUAAAUUUUACGUCUAAUGCAGACUGUGGACCACAAGAAAUGCUAGCAUUGUCGGGAUCGGCUUACUCGAAAUGGCUUCUCACUAUGUUGCCCAGGCUGAUCUCGAACUCUGAGCUCAAGUCAUCCUUCUGCCUCGUCCUCUCAAAUUGCAAGAAUCACAGGCAAGAGCCAUGGAGCCCAGCGCCUUUGCUUUUCUACGUGAACUUAGUAUGGGAAUCCUCAGGCUGACUCCGAGGUCAUUUGUCCCUCACCCGCAUUCAAGGAAUAGAUUCUCCCAUCCUCAACAUUUGCCAUCAGAAAGACGUAGCUGCCAUCCAACUUAAGCUGCCCUUGCUGGAAUUUAGAUGAAUUUCCCUGUUCUCUUUUUAGGAUGUCAUUAAGGUGAGGAUCCCCAGAGCAGAUCAUCCUAGAUUCAGAGUACCUGCUACCUCCAAUGACUGGCAUGCUCAUAAGAGAAAGGAGAGGGAGAUUUGAGACGCAGAGACACAUAGGGAAAGGUGGCAUGAAGAUGAAGGCAGAGGCCAGACACAGUGGCUCACACCUUAAUCCCAACACUCUGGGAGGCCGAGGUGGGUGGAUCCCUUGAGGCCAGGAGUUUGAAACCAGC